AGUGAACGCCGGCGGUAGGCCUAACACAUGCAAGUCGAACGGCAGCACAGUAAGAGCUUGCUCUUACGGGUGGCGAGAGGCGGACGGGUGAGGAAUACAUCGGAAUCUACUUUUUCGUGGGGGAUAACGUAGGGAAACUUACGCUAAUACCGCAUACGACCUACGGGUGAAAGCAGGGGAUCUUCGGACCUUGCGCGAUUGAAUGAGCCGAUGUCGGAUUAGCUAGUUGGCGGGGUAAAGGCCCACCAAGGCGACGAUCCGUAGCUGGUCUGAGAGGAUGAUCAGCCACACUGGAACUGAGACACGGUCCAGACUACUACGGGAGGCAGCAGUGGGGAAUAUUGGACAAUGGGCGCAAGCCUGAUCCAGCCAUACCGCGUGGGUGAAGAAGGCCUUCGGGUUGUAAAGCCCUUUUGUUGGGAAAGAAAAGCAGCAGGUUAAUACCCCGCUGUUCUGACGGUACCCAAAGAAUAAGCACCGGCUAACUUCGUG
rnacentral:rRNA from 1 species